rnacentral:lncRNA from 1 species
GAGAUUUUAGUCCAAUUAUGUUAUUUUUCUUCAUUUUUAACUGUUUAAAAUCGAUUUCUGUUUUAAAAAAAUGUUGAGAAAAUUUGUCAAACCUUGUUUGACCAUGUUAGACUUAUGAUGGUCCAAUUGGACUUAUCCAAGUUGAUUUGAAUUGGAUUUGAAGUUUGACCUUUAUUUGUUCAUUUUAUUUUAUGCAUUAUUUUAAUUCCAAAAAAUACCAACAAUAUGUUUGACCUUUC